ACAAAGAUUAAAACAGAUCUUACGAUACUUUGAUUCUAGCAUCAGUACACAUUCAGCAAGUAGCUCUAUGAACUAAUUUUCCAACUUGGACAACACUGUAUCUUUUCUCCUUAAGCAGCUCUACCAAAAACAAUGGGACUAUUAACCCAGGAAGCAGACAGUCGCUAUUGCUAAUGCUAUCAUAACUUAUUUCAUUCUUUUCCAAAUUGAAACAAUACCUUUUUUUUUUUUUUUUUUUUNUUUUUUUUUUUUUUUUUUAGCAGGGUAUUUUAUGUCUUUUCCUUCAAGUCAUGAAUGUACAGUAAGAGUUUCAGGCUGAUGUCAACUAAACAGGUGCAUCAGAAGCUGCAAUACUAACCCUUCACUAAGGUUCUCUACCCUUUUUCCACUCAUGUGAACAAUUAAUUUUGACCAGAGAUUCUGCAGUAACUCACUUUUUGCAUGUGCUUUUAUUCCACUAAUAGCUGAAUUCCAGAAUUUAUACGGAAGCAUUGAUUCCCAGCCUUGCUGUACCAGUUCAUGUCACAGGUCAUUUGAUACUCAGAUCCCUCGGCAUAUAUACUUCUACCCAUUCACAAUAGCAUAAUCUAAUUUACAGUCAUAGUUUAACUUCGUUUGGACCAACAAAUUUGGCAGCGAUGUGCAACUGCCUCAGGGUGGGAACAGCAGAUCUUACUGAAGCUGGAUAUUCAUAGGAUAAGUACAGACAACCUUCUUAGCAACUUAUGAACAGUGCUCGUAACUUUACUGCAUCUUGAGACACAGUUCAGUGCCAGUAGUUUUCCUUGUUUUGUUGAUGGAUAUUGGCUCCUCCCAAAUGAAGUAAAAGUUACUGUGUUUGGCUGGAGGAGAAAAGAAAAUGUUUAACAUUUAAACAUUUAAAACUUGUAGUAGUUUAUUCAAAGGGUAAAGCCUUGAAGACGUUUAAGAAAAAAG
rnacentral:lncRNA from 1 species